rnacentral:tRNA from 1 species
UACACUUUAGUAUAAGAGGUACGGAAAUUUUUGAUAUUUCCAGAGGUAGUUUAAUUCUUCCAAGUGUAA